rnacentral:rRNA from 1 species
UGCGCAGGCGGCCUGGUAAGUCAGGGGUGAAAUAUGACGGCUCAACCGUCAAACUGCCCCUGAAACUGUCAGGCUUGAGUCCGGGAGAGGUUGGUGGAAUUCCAGGUGUAGCGGUGAAAUGCGUAAAUAUCUGGAGGAACACCGGUGGCGAAGGCGGCCAACUGGCCCGGUACUGACGCUCAGGCACGAAAGCUAGGGGAGCGAACAGGAUUAGAUACCCUGGUAGUCC